ACGCUUCUUUUUCCACCGGAGCUUGCUCCACCGGAAAAAGAAGAGUGGCGAACGGGUGAGUAACACGUGGGUAACCUGCCCAUCAGAAGGGGAUAACACUUGGAAACAGGUGCUAAUACCGUAUAACAAUCAAAACCGCAUGGUUUUGAUUUGAAAGGCGCUUUCGGGUGUCGCUGAUGGAUGGACCCGCGGUGCAUUAGCUAGUUGGUGAGGUAACGGCUCACCAAGGCCACGAUGCAUAGCCGACCUGAGAGGGUGAUCGGCCACAUUGGGACUGAGACACGGCCCAAACUCCUACGGGAGGCAGCAGUAGGGAAUCUUCGGCAAUGGACGAAAGUCUGACCGAGCAACGCCGCGUGAGUGAAGAAGGUUUUCGGAUCGUAAAACUCUGUUGUUAGAGAAGAACAAGGAUGAGAGUAACUGUUCAUCCCUUGACGGUAUCUAACCAGAAAGCCACGGCUAACUACGUGCCAGCAGCCGCGGUAAUACGUAGGUGGCAAGCGUUGUCCGGAUUUAUUGGGCGUAAAGCGAGCGCAGGCGGUUUCUUAAGUCUGAUGUGAAAGCCCCCGGCUCAACCGGGGAGGGUCAUUGGAAACUGGGAGACUUGAGUGCAGAAGAGGAGAGUGGAAUUCCAUGUGUAGCGGUGAAAUGCGUAGAUAUAUGGAGGAACACCAGUGGCGAAGGCGGCUCUCUGGUCUGUAACUGACGCUGAGGCUCGAAAGCGUGGGGAGCAAACAGGAUUAGAUACCCUGGUAGUCCACGCCGUAAACGAUGAGUGCUAAGUGUUGGAGGGUUUCCGCCCUUCAGUGCUGCAGCUAACGCAUUAAGCACUCCGCCUGGGGAGUACGACCGCAAGGUUGAAACUCAAAGGAAUUGACGGGGGCCCGCACAAGCGGUGGAGCAUGUGGUUUAAUUCGAAGCAACGCGAAGAA
rnacentral:rRNA from 1 species